CCAUCAGGUAGUUGGUAGGGUAGAAGCCUACCAAGCCUUUGACGGGUAGCUGGUCUGAGAGGAUGAUCAGCCAGACUGGGACUGAGAUACGGCCCAGACUCCUACGGGAGGCAGCAGUUGGGAAUCUUGCGCAAUGGGCGAAAGCCUGACGCAGCGACGCCGCGUGGGGGAAGAAGGUCUUCGGAUUGUAAACCCCUUUUGUCGGGGAAGAGUGAGGACGGUACCCGGCGAAUAAGCCCCGGCUAACUACGUGCCAGCAGCCGCGGUAAUACGUAGGGGGCGAGCGUUGUCCGGAUUUACUGGGCGUAAAGGGCGCGUAGGCGGCUCGUUAAGUUGGCUGUAAAAUCCCCCGGCUUAACCGGGGUGUGUCGGCCAAAACUGGCGGGCUUGAGGACGGUAGAGGAAGGUGGAAUUCCUGGUGUAGUGGUGAAAUGCGUAGAGAUCAGGAGGAACACCGGUGGCGAAGGCGGCCUUCUGGGCCGUUCCUGACGCUGAGGCGCGAAAGCGUGGGGAGCAAACUGAAUUAGAUACUCAGGUAGUCCACGCCCUAAACUAUGGACGCUAGGUGUGGGGGGUAUCGACCCCUCCCGUGCCGAAGCUAACGCAUUAAGCGUCCCGCCUGGGGAGUACGGCCGCAAGGCUAAAACUCAAAUGAAUUGACGG
rnacentral:rRNA from 1 species